UACAGAGGGGGCAAGCGUUGUUCGGAAUUACUGGGCGUAAAGAGCGUGUAGGCGGCCAAGCAGGUCCGUUGUGAAAACUGGAGGCUUAACCUCCAGACGUCGACGGAAACCGCGUGGCUAGAGUCCGGAAGAGGAGAGUGGAAUUCCUGGUGUAGCGGUGAAAUGCGCAGAUAUCAGGAAGAACACCAAUGGCGAAGGCAGCUCUCUGGGACGGUACUGACGCUGAGACGCGAAAGCGUGGGGAGCGAACAGG
rnacentral:rRNA from 1 species